ACAACAUUCGGACCGUCGGUCUACCGAGCAAUAUCACCCGCUCGACAAAAGAUCUUCCCACUGUCGU
rnacentral:pre_miRNA from 1 species